UACGGAGGGUGCGAACGUUGUUCGGAAUUACUGGGCGUAAAGCGCGCGUAGGCGGCACGGCUAGUCAGAUGUGAAAGCCCUCGGCUCAACCGAGGAAGUGCAUUUGAAACUGCCGAGCUAGAGUACGGGAGAGGGUUGUAGAAUUCCCGGUGUAGAGGUGAAAUUCGUAGAUAUCGGGAGGAAUACCAGUGGCGAAGGCGGCAACCUGGACCGAUACUGACGCUGAGGUGCGAAAGCGUGGGGAGCAAACAGG
rnacentral:rRNA from 1 species